rnacentral:rRNA from 1 species
CCUGCCCAAGAGAUCGGGAUAACACCUGGAAACAGAUGCUAAUACCGGAUAACAAUAGAUGAUGCCUAUCAACUGUUUAAAAGAUGGUUCUGCUAUCACUCUUGGAUGGACCUGCGGUGCAUUAGCUAGUUGGUAGGGUAACGGCCUGCCAAGGCGAUGAUGCAUAGCCGAGUUGAGAGACUGAUCGGCCACAUUGGGACUGAGACACGGCCCAAACUCCUACGGGAGGCAGCAGCG